UACGUAGGGUGCGAGCGUUAAUCGGAAUUACUGGGCGUAAAGCGUGCGCAGGCGGUUUGUUAAGUCUGAUGUGAAAGCCCCGGGCUCAACCUGGGAACUGCAUUGGAAACUGGCAAGCUCGAGUAUGGCAGAGGGGGGUGGAAUUCCGCGUGGUAGCAGUGAAAUGCGUAGAGAUGCGGAGGAACACCGAUGGCGAAGGCAGCCCCCUGGGCCAAUACGUGACGCUCAGGCACGAAAGCGUGGGGAGCAAACAGG
rnacentral:rRNA from 1 species